ACUAUUUUGGCAGAUUUGAGUGCGAUAAAUUUAGAAUUUAUAAAUGUAAUUACUUUACAAAUAGUA
rnacentral:tRNA from 1 species